AUUGAACGCUGGCGGCAUGCCUAACACAUGCAAGUCGAGCGGAAGCACGGGGGCUUGCCCCUGGUGGCGAGUGGGGCGGGGGUGUGAAAUACAUGGGAAUAUCUCCUGUAGUGGGGUAUAGUCCGGCGAAGGCCGCAUAAAUACCGCAUGCGAUCUACGGGAAAAAGCGGGGUACCUUCGGGCCUCGCGCUAUGAUGUUGCUCGAUGGCGGAUUAGCUAGUUGGUGGGGUAAAGGCCUACCAAGGCGACGAUCAGUAGCUGGUCUGAGAGGGUGACCAGCCACACUGGAACUGAGACACGGCCCAGACUCCUACGGGAGGCAGCAGUGGGGAAUUUUGGACAAUGGGCGAAAGCCUGAUCCAGCAAUGCCGCGUGUGUGAAGAAGGUCUUCGGAUUGUAAAGCACUUUUAUUCGGGAAGAAAUCCUGUGCCAUAAUACGUUCAGGUGUUGACGGUACCGAAAGAAUAAGCACCGGCUAACUACGUG
rnacentral:rRNA from 1 species